CAUCUGUCUCAUCAGGGUUUAUACACACGCUUUAUGGUGGAACUUGUUUGGAGCUCCAUUUCUAACUUAGUAUGUGUGUCUUUGAUGUGUGUGAAUGCAGGUGCCAGGGUUUUACAUCAUUUAUCUUCGGAUACAUAUUGGCCUCCAGGAUUUGGGAUAUGGGAUAAGAUAUACAGCUGGUCGUAUUCAUCCAAAACUCAGCGGAGAGUAAUCCAGGUAGGAACAUGCAAAGAUAGUCUAAUACUGUAUUGCAAUCACAGUUUUAAAACUUCUGUUAUUUGAAAUGAAAUAACAUGGAGAAACGGUUAUGGUUUAUAAACUGUGGAGACUAAAAUGUUAAAUUUUCUCCCCUCAGGGACAAUCAUCAUUACUUCCUGGACAAUGCUGGCCCUUUUCAGGUGACCAAGGGCAUUUGUUUAUCUUGCUGUCCCACCCAGUGUCCAUCACUAGCGUGACACUCGGCCACAUAACAAAGAGCCAGUCCCCAUAUGAAUCCAUCGCCAGUGCACCGAGGAAAUUUUCUAUCUAUGGAAUGAGGACUGCUACUGAGGAAGGAACCUAUUUGGGAACACUGGUCUAUGAUCAAGACGGCGCAGCAUUUCAGACCUUUAGGCUGCCUAAUCCAGACAAAGGAGUCUUCCGAUAUGUGAAGCUAUAGAUUGACAACAACUGGGGAAACGCAGACUACACCUGUCUGUACAGCUUCAGGGUUCACGGUAACACAGAUAGAGAUGAAGGUAAAUCAAUCACAAAACAUCUGAAUUUGCCUGAAUUUAGCUUACCAAAUUAGGAUUCCAAAUAGGAAUUUUGCUUUGAUUUGUAUUGCUUACAUUGUGCUUACUCAUACAAAACAAACAAUAUAUACACACUAUAAAUAAUAUAGACAGGUUGAGACAGUGUGCAAAGAAUGCAGUAGUAAAUUAUAAUGAAGAUAGUUAUUAAUAUUUUAAUUAUGGAGCAUAGUGCAGAGGGUGAUGGAAUAAAUAAUAUGUUAUUAUAUAAGUAUUACAUUACAAUAUGAACAGUAUUUUGUGAAGGAUGCAUAAACACAUGUCAUGUUCCCAGAUGUUUUGCAGUUGAUUUGCCUUCCCUCUUAGGGCGGCAUGGUGGCUGUGUGAAUACAGCCCCCAUGUCUGCGUGGGUUUCCUCCGGGUGCUCCGGUUUCCUCCCACACACGCAGGUCAAUUGGUUUGAACUGUUUGAAUUAAAUUUGAUCAUUUAAUUGUAAUA